rnacentral:rRNA from 1 species
AAUUGGAGGGCAAGUCUGGUGCCAGCAGCCGCGGUAAUUCCAGCUCCAAUAGCGUAUAUUAAAGUUGUUGCAGUUAAAAAGCUCGUAGUUGGAUUUCUGGUGGGGCUGUCGGCCUGGCUCCGAAAGGGGUCGGUGCUUGAACACGCCUGGCCAUCCUCGGGGGAAGCUUUGCUGGCAUUAGGUUGUCGGCGGAGUGACGCUCGUCGUUUACUGUGAACAAAUUAGAGUGUUCAAAGCAGGCUUAGGCCGUUGAAUACAUUAGCAUGGAAUAAUGAGAUAGGACUUUGGUGGUCUAUUUUGUUGGUUUGCACGCCGAAGUAAUGAUUAAUAGGGGCGGUUGGGGGUAUUCGUAUUCAAUUGUCAGAGGUGAAAUUCUUGGAUUUAUGGAAGACGAACUACUGCGAAAGCAUUUACCAAGGAUGUUUUCAUUAAUCAAGAACGAAAGUUAGGGGAUCGAAGAAGAUUAGAUACCUUCGUAGUCUUAACCAUAAACUAUGCCGACUAGGGAUUGGCGGUCGCUUGUUCAGGCUCCGUCAGCNCCUUAUGAGAAAUCAAAGUCUUUGGGUUCCGGGGGGAGUAUGGUCGCAAGGCUGAAANUUAAAGAAAUUGACGGAAGGGCACCACCAGGAGUNNNNNNNUNCGGCUUAAUUUGACUCAACACGAAUCCCCGCGGNC